CAGUAGCCGCGGGAAUACGUAGGGUGCAAGCGUUAAUCGGAAUUACUGGGCGUAAAGCGCACGUAGGCGGCUUUGUAAGUAAGAGGUGAAAGCCUGGUGCUCAACACCAGAACUGCCUUUAGACUGCAUCGCUUGAAUCAUGGAGAGGUCAGUGGAAUUCCGAGUGUAGAGGUGAAAUUCGUAGAUAUUCGGAAGAACACCAGUGGCGAAGGCGGCUGACUGGACAUGUAUUGACGCUGAGGUGCGAAAGCGUGGGGAGCAAACAGGAUUAGAUACCCCCGUAGUCCCUGUCUCUUAUACC
rnacentral:rRNA from 1 species